rnacentral:rRNA from 1 species
GACGAACGCUGGCGGCGUGCUUAACACAUGCAAGUCGAACGGAAAGGCCCUGCUUGCAGGGUACUCGAGUGGCGAACGGGUGAGUAACACGUGGGUGAUCUGCCCUGCACUUCGGGAUAAGCCUGGGAAACUGGGUCUAAUACCGGAUAGGAGCCAUUUUAGUGUGAUGGUUGGAAAGUUUUUCGGUGUAGGAUGAGCUCGCGGCCUAUCAGCUUGUCGGUGGGGUAAUGGCCUACCAAGGCGGCGACGGGUAGCCGGCCUGAGAGGGUGGACGGCCACAUUGGGACUGAGAUACGGCCCAGACUCCUACGGGAGGCAGCAGUGGGGAAUAUUGCACAAUGGGCGCAAGCCUGAUGCAGCGACGCCGCGUGGGGGAUGACGGCCUUCGGUUGG